rnacentral:snRNA from 14 species
UUACUUACCUGGCAGAGGCUACCCUUCUUCUCAGCCUUAAAUGAUUUGGUGUAGUUAGAAGGUAAAAGACUGUCCCUUGCACUGCAGGCAGGCUGACUCCUGUGAGAAUCUGUAAGUGCCUCCAAAUGCAAGGGUCUCAACUACACAAUUUAUGGCACUAGGGGAUUGCUCUCAGGCUUUUCCUCC